rnacentral:lncRNA from 13 species
GGCUCCGCGGGCCGCCGGCUGACGUCAGCAGGGCCGCGCGCCGAGCCCCCGGGACUGGGAGAACGCGGGGCGGGGGAGGCGCGCGCCGGGGGUCCGCGUCAGCCGGCGGAGGCGCGCACGCGCGUUCGCGGAGCAUCCUCCCCCCUCCCCCAAGCGCCCUCCGGGCCCGCGGCUCCCCGGGGGUGGGCGCGUGCGAGGCUGGCGGGGGCGGGGCGUGGGGCCGGGCGCGCGCCGGGGCGCCCUACCCCGCCCCUGCCCCCGCCCCACGCGGCGGCGGCGCGGACCUCCUUGUCAAUGGGAGUGCUGGGCCGGGCAGGCAGCGCGGCAGUCAGAGAGCUUAAGCAUCCAACAUUCUAUAGAAUGUGUUAUUUCCUCAAGUGGUUGCUAGGAACAGUUAUGUAGAUCUACCAGAUGCAGGGAAAACGCUCCACACCCUCAUCCAGGUGCUGUAUCCUUGCAAGACUGCAUUGGAAAGACUGAAGAGAUGGAGUCUCACUCUUGCCCAGGCUGGAGUGCAGUGGCAUGCUCUUGGCUCAUGGAAACCUCUGCCUCCCACGUUCAAGUGAUUCUCAUGCUUCAGCCUCCCCAGUAGCUGGGAUAACAGAAAAUCCCCCUGAGAAGAAGGCAGACCUUCCCUCCAGGGAGGUCAAGGAGGAUUGCACUGAUUCACUUCAUGCAAACAGCUUCCUGGGGAGGGAGCUUUUGCUCUCCCUGCUGUGUGGAGAGAUUGAGGAGCCUCCAAGGCUUGGCAGCAGGUCAGUACUCAGCCAAGUUUCCAGAACCAAGAGAGAGGCAUAG